rnacentral:rRNA from 1 species
AUUGAACGCUGGCGGAAUGCUUUACACAUGCAAGUCGAACGGCAGCACGGGUGCUUGCACCUGGUGGCGAGUGGCGAACGGGUGAGUAAUGCACCGGAACGUAUCCAAUAAUGGGGGAUAACGCACCGAAAGGUGUGCUAAUACCGCAUACGCCCUGAGGGGGAAAGCGGGGGAUCGCAAGACCUCGCGUUAAUGGAGCGGCCGAUGCCGGAUUAGCUAGUUGGUGGGGUAAAGGCCCACCAAGGCGACGAUCCGUAGCUGGUCUGAGAGGACGACCAGCCACACUGGGACUGAGACACGGCCCAGACUCCUACGGGAGGCAGCAGUGGGGAAUUUUGGACAAUGGGGGCAACCCUGAUCCAGCCAUGCCGCGUGCGGGAAGAAGGCCUUCGGGUUGUAAACCGCUUUCGGCCGGAACGAAAUCGCCCGGGUGAACAUCCCGGGUGGAUGACGGUACCGGAAGAAGAAGCACCGGCUAACUACGUGCCAGCCGCCGCGGUAAAAC